rnacentral:rRNA from 1 species
UACGUAGGGUGCAAGCGUUGUCCGGAAUUAUUGGGCGUAAAGAGCUCGUAGGCGCUUGUCGCGUCGGCUGUGAAAACCUGGGGCUCAACCCCGGGCCUGCAGCCGAUACGGGCAAGCUAGAGUUCGGUAGGGGAGACUGGAAUUCCCGGUGUAGUGGUGGAAUGCGUAGAUAUCGGGAGGAACACCAGUGGCGAAGGCGGUUGCCUGGGGCUUUGCUGACGCUGAUGCGCGAAAGCGUGGGGAGCGAGUCCGG